rnacentral:pre_miRNA from 1 species
CCUCUGUUAGGAAGGAUGUAGGGGAGAGGCUGCCUCAAGUCGUGCUUGUCUCACGUUGUGUCUAUAAACAUGCAAAACUUGUUUCCCCCAAGCAACAGAGGGA